rnacentral:lncRNA from 1 species
AAUAAAGGAAGAACCAUUCUCAGAUGCCAAGCUGAUAUUCAGACAAACAUACUUACAAUUAAUAAUUUUGAAACUAAAAGCUGAUAAUCUUACAAAGCGUAAAAAGGCAUGGCAUAUAGGUUCUUAUGUUAGUGCUAUAUGGAUGUGUAAUAUAUUAAACACGCGAAUUUUGAUUCCACCUUGAAUAUUGGAUAGUAUAGAAAGUUAUCACCAGUG